rnacentral:lncRNA from 1 species
AAGGAGCUGAGGGGGGUGAGGAAGGGCCUGAGAAGGAUUUGAGGAAGAGGAAGGUGAGGAAGAAGCUGAGAGGGAUUUGAGGAGGAAGAGGAGGGUGAGGAAGGGCCUGAGGAGGAAGAGGAGGGUGAGGAAGGGCCUGAGGAGGAAGAGGAGGGUGAGGAAGGGCCUGAGGAGGAUUUGAGGAGGAGGAGGGUGAGGAAGGGCCUGAGGAGGAAGAGGAGGGUGAGGAAGGAGCUGAGAGGGAUUUGAAGAGGAAGAGGAGGGUGAGGAAGGAGCUGAGGAGGAGGAGGAGGGUGAGGAAGGCCACAGGGGGAUUUGAGGAGGGUGAGGAAGGCCACAGGGGGAUUUGAGGAGGAGGAGGAGGGUGAGGAAGGCCACAGGGGGAUUUGAGGAGGGUGAGGAAGGGCCUGAGGGGGAUUUGGGGGGUCCUGAGGAGGAGGAAGAGGGGAGGAAGGCAGCGCCAGCCUCGGGGGAGGG